GAAGGAAAAAUUACUGAACAAAACAUCAAACUAUAUUGCUAUAAAAUACUACAUCAACACAACUUGAAAGAAUAGCCUAUAAACAAAAUAAGGAAAAAUUUCCUAUAGAAAUGUCAGUGGCUGAAAUACAUAUGACUACUAUAACAGCACCAUAAUGUUUCUCUCAAUGAACAACAACAACAUGAACUAAUUAUUCUUAUACGUGACACAUCAGCUAGUAACUUAGUUUAGUAAUGUUUUUGUCCCUUCGACCUUUUGUCCAUUCGACCUUUUGUCCUUCGACCUUCUGUCCUAAAGCCAUCAAAAUAUGCUUUUAUUGAGCUAUUUCACUCUGCUCGGGUUUACACUAAGUGUAAGUCUUCUCUCGGUUGGUAGUGAAUGUUCUGUUCUAGUCGCUCCAUCACGAAUGGUGGUUUGUUAUCUGCUAUUUGAUGUAUGGAAAAGCAGUUUUUUUUAUGUGAUUCACUCGCAAUUAAUAUAUGCAUUAUCAAAUAUUGCUGCUUGACAUAGACCUUAGAAAACGAAAAUAAAGGGCAUUUAAGAACCUCAAAAACCCGUCACCAGCACAGUAGUGUAGAUAGCCAUAGUUAUAAUAAAGCAACCAUAGUGAACUGACCCACAUGCAAUAAAGUGUCUUCUCGUGCAAAUAAAUUCGGGUUUACGAUCAGUAAUCGCGUCGUUGUUUGUGGUUUGUCUACCGAAAUUUACGCCCGUGAUUUUGACCCCGUACAGAACAUUUUGAUGCCGUGACCAGGAUCACGGGUAUGUGAAUAUCACUUUCUGGAUCGUGUACUUCGACGCUAACACCUAACCCCAUCACCGGUCGAAAGUAUUUCCCAAAGGAUUGCAGUACCGUACAUAAUACAAGGCCUGUUUUUGGACAGGUACAUGUGAGUAUUUGUCCAUUAUUUCCCAUCCCCAUUGCACGAUGCUUCCUUGGUGUUUUUUUUAUGAUCGAUUUCAGUCCAUUUCUGGUGUGAUUGCUGCUGGGAGACACGAGGUUGUUGCUGCUGCUGCAGUGAUAUGAUAAAUAGUACCACCGCCGGUGCUAAAGUGAAUUCAAUUAUCCAAUCAUUGGUCUGCUGAGCCGUUUUGUAUGCAGCGGAUAGUCCACGUCCGUGGAUCAACAUCGUGUUCGAGGUUCCUGCUAUUAAUAUAACACAAGGCCUGUCUUUGGACAGGCGCAGGUGAGUGUCUGUCCAAGUGUUUUAUACCUCCCCCUUCGGUACUUCCUGGGUCCUCCCGAUCAUUACAGCUCCCAUUUGGAAGUCGUCCAGCGCACACAAUGUCGGAGAAGAAGAGGAAGCAGAAGGAGCUCAAGCGUCGGAACAUCAUGGACUCGAUCGCCCGCAUCGAUGAGUUCCUGACCAACUUCAAUCCCGAACGAGACACCAAGGAGGUAGAGAUACGAUUGGCUAGAUUGGACAAGCUGAUGGAGAACUUCGAGGACAUUGAAGGUGAAUAGGAUACUGUUUGUGGAGAAAUUUAUUCACAAAUACUUCAGAAAUACAUGCACGAGCUUCUGUAGCAAUCCUUAAAGAAAUAUCCCAAAUAAUGAAAUUUGUGAG